UGCAUUGCAAAAUAUUUGUCUCCUGUCCACAGAGGUGAAUGCAUUCAAGAAAAAGACAAAAGCAAAGAAGAUAUGGGUAUUCCAAGGAUGAUAGUUGAUCAUACUCUCCUGAGAACUGUGGAUGUCAAUUAGGGCUUUGACCAGGUGUGGCCAAGGGGAUGCCUCUGUUCCAGUCUUCACCUCCUGCACAUGACAUUUUUCUCAUCCAUCCAGGAAGGCUGACAAGUUGGCUUAUGCCCACUUUUGUGCAUUUGUGUAAUGUGUUAACUGGCGUGGGUCACCGGAGAAUCGUGGAGUCUGAGAACCAGGGAAGGUAGAGAGCAACUAUUCUGGACACUUGAACAGCAGUCAUCUAACCUGAGGGAGGAGGGACAGGAACGUGAUGGAGAAAGGUGGUCAUGAUCUCAUCAGUCAGUCAUGCUUGGAGUUACUGCCAUUUCAUAAGUGUAUGGUCUUGACCCUGUCUGCCACUAAUGGUGAGUCAUUCUUGCAAAAAAAAAAAAAAAAGGCAUAAGUUUAUACUUAACAACACACAAUACACAAAACUUAUGUGUGGAGUUCCAAGACAGUUAAAUGGCAUUCCAAGAAACAGCAAAUUCUGAAAACAAAGUAAGUUAUUAAAUUAGCAAUUUUGACGUGUGA